CCCCUCUCAGGAUCGCACCUGGAGAGAUUCCAAUACUCUACCAGUCUCGGCUACAGGAGGGAGAGUCAGAGGCCUACCCAUCCCAUUCCUAGCUUGGGCAGUGGCUAGCCAGUGGAAGGUAAUCUGCUACAAGU